AGGAUGACUCAUUAAAUUAAAUUUCAGAUAACCAAUGACUAAUUUUUUAUGGAUAUAUUUCUUGCAAUAUUUGGGACAUACUUAUACUAAAAAAUUAGUCAUUGUUUAUCUGUAAUUCAACUUUAACUGGGUGUCCUGUA
rnacentral:miRNA from 1 species